UUGGCUACCUUGGCACAAUUCAAAUCCUAGUUGGCUACAGCGCUUUUUGGAAUCUUUUUUUUGAUGAUUUAAAUUCUAUUAUUGAAAUAUUCAUAUUUGAAUUUCUUCAGGAAAGAAAACAUCUAUAAUCACUUCUUGAGCCAAAUCCGCUAUUAUGGCAUGCAGAUUUACUUGCCACUUGUGCUUGCUAACUGGCGGAUCCAGCAUGGAGUCAUUCACCGCCACAGUGAGUCUAGCCCAUUUAACUAUUUUUUUUCACGUGAGAUCUUCAUCCCUCUUUAUGUCAUGAUUGAGAAUUAAAAAAAUUACAACUGAUAUAUAAAGAGUUGAGAGUUUAAAUAACUCCAUGAGAUUUGUUUUGUGAA